GUGGGGAAUCUUGCGCAAUGGGCGAAAGCCUGACGCAGCCAUGCCGCGUGAAUGAUGAAGGUCUUAGGAUUGUAAAAUUCUUUCACCGGGGACGAUAAUGACGGUACCCGGAGAAGAAGCUCCGGCUAACUUCGUGCCAGCAGCCGCGGUAAUACGAAGGGGGCUAGCGUUGCUCGGAAUUACUGGGCGUAAAGGGCGCGUAGGCGGAUCGUUAAGUCAGGGGUGAAAUCCCAGAGCUCAACUCUGGAACUGCCCUUGAUACUGGCGAUCUUGAGUGUGAGAGAGGUAUGUGGAACUCCGAGUGUAGAGGUGAAAUUCGUAGAUAUUCGGAAGAACACCAGUGGCGAAGGCGACAUACUGGCUCAUUACUGACGCUGAGGCGCGAAAGCGUGGGGAGCAAACAGGAUUAGAUACCCGAGUAGUCC
rnacentral:rRNA from 1 species